rnacentral:rRNA from 1 species
AUUGAACGCUGGCGGCAGGCCUAACACAUGCAAGUCGAGCGGAGCGGCGGACGGGUGAGUAAUGCCUAGGAAUCUGCCUGGUCGUGGGGGUUAACGUCCGGAAACGGGCGCUAAUACCGCAUACUAUCAGAUGAGCCUAGGUCGGGUUAGCUUGUUGGGGGGGUAAAGGCCUACCAAGGCGAGGAUCCGUAACUGGUCUGAGAGGAUGAUCAGUCACACUGGAACUGAGACACAGUCCAGACUCAUCCGUGACGCAGGAGUGGGGAAUAUUGGACAAUGGGCGGAAGCCUGAUCCAGCCAUGCCGCGUGUGUGAAGAAAGUCUUCGGAUUGUAAAGGACUUUAAGUUGGAAAGCGUUACCAACAGAAUAAGGACCGGCUAACUUCGUGCCAGCAGCCGCGGUAAUAC